CAGCUUGAUUCUCAGGAAUCAGAAUAUGGGUCAGCACUAGAGGGCAGGCUUAUGAUACAUUACAGUAGAUAAUCUCACGACAGUCUUUUUAGAUCUCUGUCUCUUGGCAUAAUUGAGUUCGUAAGUGAGGAGUAAAAUCUGUAGAUGUUUUUUGGAGACUAGAGAGACGCAGAUGAGUUUAUAUGUGCACAUUUCAUCUUCAUUACAAUACAUCUGACUUUUGAUUUCAGGGCGUUGGCGGAAAAAUGGCACUUAGUGCAGCUUCUGUAAUACGUUCACUUUUUAACGCGGGAGAAUCAACUGAGAAGACGUGUUCAUCAGGCGGCUGAGGAAAAUCUUACUGAAAGACAAGGCAGCAUGUGGGCGAUAAUAAUCCAGAGGAACAUUCAUGAUCUACCUUGAGAGCAAACUUCAUGCAGUUUAGAAACUGUAAAUAGAAUUGUGCCAGUCAAACAGUUAAAAUCUGCUGCUGAGUCUCUACAGCUCUUAGCAAAUAUGGCAAUGCCCUCAUCCAAAUGUAUCGGGCAAAGAGUAAAGACCUUGAGAUGACAUGAAAAGCA